AUUGAACGCUGGCGGCAGGCCUAACACAUGCAAGUCGAGCGGCUGCGGGAGCUUGCUCCUGGAUUCAGCGGCGGAAGGGGGAGUAAUGCCUAGGAAUCUGCCUGGUAGGGGGGGAUAACGUCCGGAAACGGGCGCUAAUACCGCAUACGUCCUGAGGGAGGAAGUGGGGGAUCUUCGGACCUCACGCUAUCAGAUGAGCCUAGGUCGGAUUAGCUAGUUGGUGGGGUAAAGGCCUACCAAGGCGACGAUCCGUAACUGGUCUGAGAGGAUGAUCAGUCACACUGGAACUGAGACACGGUCCAGACUCCUACGGGAGGCAGCAGUGGGGAAUAUUGGACAAUGGGCGCAAGCCUGAUCCAGCCAUGCCGCGUGUGUGAAGAAGGUCUUCGGAUUGUAAAGCACUUUAAGUUGGGAGGAAGGGCAGUAAGUUAAUACCGUGCUGUUUUGACGUUACCAACAGAAUAAGCACCGGCUAACUUCGUG
rnacentral:rRNA from 1 species